UAUAGAGGGGGCAAGCGUUGUUCGGAAUUACUGGGCGUAAAGGGCGCGUAGGCGGCCUGCUAAGUCGAACGUGAAAUCCCCGGGCUCAACCCGGGAACUGCGUCCGAUACUGGCAGGCUUGAAUUCGGGAGAGGGAUGUGGAAUUCCAGGUGUAGCGGUGAAAUGCGUAGAUAUCUGGAGGAACACCGGUGGCGAAGGCGGCAUCCUGGACCGAGAUUGACGCUGAUGCGCGAAAGCCAGGGGAGCAAACGGGG
rnacentral:rRNA from 1 species